AGAUAAAAACGUGUAAAGUAAGCUACAUCUGAUCGAAAAUGAAACCAUUUUGUUUUCAUGCAGGCGCUGUCAGUCACAGCUAGAAGAGGUGUGGCUAGUGCUGCAUAAACAGAAACAAAAGUGAUUUAACUCCUAUAUGGUAGUGAAUGGAAAAUUGAAACUUUAGAGGCAUGAUCUAUAUACAAAAACUCCAUAAUUAAGCUAAAGUUAUUUUGGUGACUAUAGUGUCCCUUUAACAAAUAAGUAUCCUGCGAUAACUGCAGGUUUUUUCAAUGCCUCUUAAUAAAAGCCAAGAGAAGAGGUAGAGAGAGAACAGCAAAUCAUACCCCUUACCCCCCUUUAAAGAUUAUAACUCAGUACAUUAUACAAUAACCACAAGUAAUGGGAAGGGAGUCUAUGUACACCCGGAGCCAACACCUCCGGUUGUUUGCUCUGGGUGUACAUAGACCCCUACCCCUUACUUAAUUACAUUACCCAGCUUAUCAU